rnacentral:tRNA from 1 species
GCCUGGUUGGCUUAGCGGUUGAGCGGCUGCCUUUGGCCCAGGCCCGAUCCCAGGGGUCCUGGGUUGGAAUCCCACACCGGGCU